rnacentral:rRNA from 1 species
UGACCUAAACCCUCACCAGAGUAACAAUUGGAGGGCAAGUCUGGUGCCAGCAGCCGCGGUAAUUCCAGCUCCAAUAGCGUAUAUUAAACUUGUUGCAGUUAAAAAGCUCGUAGUUAAAUUUUUGCGUGGUGUUAAUAUUGACUAAUGUCGAGGUUGCACUUCGCUUUUGGGAUUUAUCCCUUUUUACUUUGAGAAAAUUAGAGUGUUUCAAGCAGACUUUUGUCUUGAAUACUUCAGCAUGGAAUAAUAGAGUAGGACUUUGGUUCUAUUUUGUUGGUUUGUGGACCUUAGUAAUGGUUAAUAGGAACGGUUGGGGGCAUUCGUAUUUAACUGUCAGAGGUGAAAUUCUUAGAUUUGUUAAAGACGAACUACUGCGAAAGCAUUUGCCAAGGACGUUUUCAUUAAUCAAGAACGAAAGUUAGGGGAUCGAAGACGAUCAGAUACCGUCGUAGUCCUAACCAUAAACUAUGCCGACUAGGGAUUGGAGAUCGUCAUUUUUCCGACUCCUUCAGCACCUU